GACGAACGCCGGCGGCGUGCUUAACACAUGCCAGUCGAACGGAAAGGCCUCUUUCGGGGGGUACUCGAGUGGCGAACGGGUGAGUAACACGUGAGUAACCUGCCCUUGACUUUGGGAUAACUUCAGGAAACUGGGGCUAAUACCGGAUAGGAGCUCCUGCUGCAUGGUGGGGGUUGGAAAGUUUCGGCGGUUGGGGAUGGACUCGCGGCUUAUCAGCUUGUUGGUGGGGUAGUGGCUUACCAAGGCUUUGACGGGUAGCCGGCCUGAGAGGGUGACCGGCCACAUUGGGACUGAGAUACGGCCCAGACUCCUACGGGAGGCAGCAGUGGGGAAUAUUGCACAAUGGGUGGAAGCCUGAUGCAGCAACGCCGUGUGCGGGAUGACGGCCUUCGGGUUGUAAACCGCUUUCGCUCAUGACGAAGCUUUGUGUGACGGUAGUGGGUAAAGAAGCACCGGCUAACUACGUG
rnacentral:rRNA from 1 species